rnacentral:rRNA from 1 species
AUGGGCCGCGGGAGGACGGAGAUGAAGAGGAUCCACAACGACGUGUCGCGCCGGGCCACCUUCGGCAAGCGCCGCCGCGGCCUGCUCAAGAAGGCGGGCGAGCUCGCCGUGCUCUGCGGCGUGGACCUCGGCCUCCUCGUCUUCGACGACGGCGGCGCCGGCAAGCUGUUCGACUACUGCAGCCCCAGCACAAGCUGGAGCGAGCUAAUUGAGCGCUACGAGAGCAUCACCAACCACAAGUUCCAGUUCCAGUUCCAGUUCCAGGGGAUAGAUCAUGAUGAUGAUGAUCAGCAACAGUUGGCGGAUCUGAGGCGUGAGCGUGACCGUCUCGAGGCCAGCGUGAGGAGGCAAACCGGAGAAGAUCUGCCAUUCGCCGCGACGGCGGCCGAACUGGACGAUCUGGAGCAGCGGCUGGAGUGCGUGCUGGGUGAAGUCCGUGAAAUGAAGGAUAAGCUGCUGGAGCAGCAGUUGGACGAGUCAUACCACAAGGUGCGCAUCUUGCAGGACCAGAACAGCUUCCUUCGCCGCCUGAUGGGCCAGGAGGGGCAGCAAUGUGCUGCUGUGGAGGCAUCAGCUGUGGCGCCGAAGCUACCGGCGCCGGCGCUCGGGGGAUCCUUCCCAGAGGAGGAGGAGUUGACGGCCCUGCGUUUGUGGCCGCGGCAGCUCCCCGACGUGUAA